AUGCGUCAAUCCAAUCACUGCCGCCCCUUCCGCCCGCCGGACUGGGGUUCUCCGCCUCCGCACUGCCGCCCGCACCACCAGCAGAGCCACCGCCAGCCGCAAUUGGCCCCGCGGUUCGCCGUGAUCCUCUUCCGCGCGGGCCCCAACAUCUCCAACCCGACCGCCACGGAGAUUGACGCGCUCGUCGCCGAUCUCCCCUCGCCGCCCCCCGACAACCUCUCCGUAUUCUCCUCCGGCCGCGACGCCGCACGCCUCCUCUUCCGCUCCCUUCCCGCCGCCGCGGCCGCAGCGCGCGAGCUCUGGUCGCUCCGCCUCGAGGGCCUCCACCUCCUCACGCCCUACCUCCCCAAUGCCGCGCUUGCCGCCCACGCCUUCCCACUCAUCGCCUCUCUCUUCGCCUCCCACGCCUCCCGCCUCCUCGACACCGACCUCGUUUCCCGUUCAACCGCCCGCUCCGCUGAGCUCGCAGCCUCCAUCCAGUCUCUGGAACACCGGCUGCGCAGUCGCAAUUCCUUCCGCGACUUCGACCAGCUCCAUCUCCAGAAGAAAACAUUGGAGGCCGAGAAGGACUUGGUAGAUGCCAAAAUUGCCGAGUACAAAGCGUCAAUGAGUUCCAUACGGCGUGCCAUGUUACAUGGGACCGAUGAGGAGGAGGAGGUGGAGGAGGAGGGGGUGUAUGUGUUUGGGAUUGGGGAAGGCGAGGAUGUGGACUUCGCAAGGUUGCACAUGACGAUGCUUCGCGAGUGCAGGAGACUCAACGAGGGGCUACCAAUUUAUGCAUACCGCAGAAAAAUUCUCAAUCACAUUUUUAAUAAUCAGGUUAUGAUCUUAAUUGGAGAGACUGGUUCUGGGAAAAGCACACAGUUAGUUCAGUUUCUUGCUGACUCAGGUCUUGCUGCUAAUGGCUCAAUUGUCUGUACUCAACCUCGAAAAAUUGCUGCCAUGUCAUUGGCACGUAGAGUGGAUGAAGAAAGCAACGGCUGCUACAAAGACAAUUUUGUGUUGUCAUAUUCAACCUUUUUAAAUUCUCAAGACCUCAAUUCGAAGAUCAUAUUUUGCACAGAUAGUUGUCUUUUACAUCACUGCAUGAACGACACGGGCCUGGAUGGCAUUUCAUAUAUCAUUGUUGAUGAAGCUCAUGAAAGAAGCUUGAACACUGAUCUUCUUUUAGCCUUGAUCAAGAAGAAGCUGCUUGAUAGGUUGGAUUUGCAUCUCAUUAUAAUGUCUGCCACUGCUGAUGCUGACAAACUUGCUGACUACUUUUAUGGCUGUCAAACAUUCCAUGUUAAAGGGCGAAAUUUUCCUGUUGAAAUUAAUUAUGUCCCAGAUGUAUCAGUGGAGGCUUCCUCCAAUGCUGUGCCAAACUCAAUGUGUGAUGCUUGUGCAACUGCUUCUUAUGUCAAUGAUGUUGUAAGGAUGGUAAGCAUCAUUCACAAGAAUGAAGAAGAGGGUGCUGUCCUUGCUUUCUUGACAUCUCAGCUGGAAGUUGAAUGGGCUUGUGAAAAUUUCAGCGAUGCAAGUGCCGUGGUACUUCCUAUGCAUGGAAAGCUUUCCCAUGUAGAACAGAGCCGUGUUUUUAAAAGCUAUCCUGGAAAGAGAAAAAUUAUCUUCUGCACGAAUAUGGCUGAAACAUCACUGACAAUAAAAGAAGUAAAGUAUGUUGUUGAUUCUGGACUGGCCAAGGAGAGCAGAUUUGUGCCCAGUAGUGGUCUCAAUGUAUUGAAAGUUAAUUGGAUUUCCCAAAGUUCUGCUAAUCAACGUGCUGGUCGGGCAGGUCGAACAGGAGCAGGGAAGUGUUACAGGCUUUACUCUGAAGCCGACUUCAGUAUGAUGGAUGUGCAUCAAGAACCUGAGAUCAGGAAAGUUCAUCUUGGCACUGCUGUUCUAAGAAUACUUGCUUUGGGUGUUAAAGAUGCACGGAAAUUUGAGUUUGUUGAUGCCCCAAAUCCCGAAGCAAUCAGUAUGGCUGUGAAGAAUCUUGAACAGUUGGGUGCUGUCAAACAUAGACUUAAUUGCUUUGAGCUGACUGAUACUGGACGCUACCUGGUCAAAUUGGGGAUUGAGCCAAGACUUGGGAAAAUUAUGCUUGAUUGCUUUGAUGUUGGUUUGAGGAAGGAAGGUGUAGUUCUAGCUGCUGUUAUGGCAAAUUCUAGCAGCAUAUUUUGUAGAGUGGGCACCGAUGAGGAGAAACAUAAAGCUGACCUUCAGAAGGUCCGGCUGUGUCACCGUGACGGAGAUCUUUUCACUCUACUUGCUGUUUAUAAGAAAUGGGAAGAUGGGCAUGACAACAGAAAUAUGUGGUGCUGGCAGAACAGCAUCAAUGCGAAGACUAUGAGGAGAUGCCAGGAAACCAUAUCAGAACUUGAAAACUGUCUAAAGCAUGAGCUGAACAUCAUUGUCCCAAGUUAUUGGCGUUGGAAUCCCGAGGCUCCCACUGUGCAUGAUAAGGAUCUAAAGAGAAUUAUCCUAUCAUCACUUACAGGUAAUCUUGCCAUGUUUUUGGGACAUGAAAGGUUUGGUUACCAGGUGAUUUCGACAGGUCAGGUUGUGAACCUUCAUCCCUCAUCCUCAUUGCUCAAUUAUGGCAUCAAGCCAGAGUGGGUUGUGUUUACAGAAAUUUUGUCAGUCCCGAAUCAAUAUUUGGUAUGUGUAACCGCUGUUGAUCAUGAUGCCUUGUAUACAAUUCACCCAGUGUCUUUCAUUAAGCAACUGGAGGAACAAAAAUUGCAGAUAAAAGUGAUUAGUGGGCUCGGUACUAACUUACUGAGAAGGUUUUGUGGCAAAUAUGGCCAAAAUCAGCAAAAGAUCAUCUCGCGUCUCAAGGAAGAUUGCAGGGAUGACCGAAUAACUGUUGAAAUUAACUUUCAAAAUAAUGAAGUUGUGUUAUUUGCUACGGAACAGAAUAUGGAAAAAGUAAGGAACGAGUGCCUAGAGAGAAAUUUAUUUCCUGGGAGGCCUGGCAGUUCUCCUAUUGCACUAUUUGGUUCAGGUGCUGAAAUCAAGCAUUUGGAACUUGGGGGGAGGUAUCUAACAGUAGAGGUUUUGCAUCAAAAUGCUCAUGAUAUCGAUGACAAGGAGCUUAUUUUCUUGGUGGAUAGUAUUGGCUCUGGCGUCGCUAAUUUUCAUAAAUCCACUGGAAGUUUUCGGAUAGCCUCAGAUGGAAUUAAAUGGGGGAAGUUUACAUUUCUGAAACCUGAAGAUGCUGAAGAUGCUGUUUCAAACCUCAAUGGCAUAGAAUUUAAUGGUUCCUCAUUAAAAUUAGUUCCUAUAUGUACUUUCGAUAAUCGAGGAUUACCAUUUCCUGCGGUGAGAGCUAAAUUAUGUUGGCCACGUAGACACAGCAGUGGACGUGCACUUGUAACAUGUGCCAGCGGGGAAGCUGAAUUUGUUGUAAAUGACUGCUUUGCCCUAGGAAUUGGUGGAAGGUACAUUAAGUGCAGGGUUAGUACUAAGUAUGAGAAUUGUGUUUUUGCUGAAGGAAUUCCAAUGCAUGUCACAGAGCCAGAACUGUAUGAUGCUUUUCAUAGCACAACAGCAAGGAGAAUCCUUAAUAUCCGUUUGCUCAGGGUCAAGGGAAAUGCCAUAGCUAGCCCCUCUGUUUCUACAUGUGAAGAAGAACUGGUUAGAGAAAUUUCUCCAUUCAUGCCAAAUAAGAGUUUUCCCGGACAGAAUUUCCGUGUUGAGGUGUUUCCUCCGGAGGAAAAUGAUUCACUGACAAGAGCAACUAUAACUUUUGAUGGAAGCCUUCAUCGAGAGGCUGCAAGAGCACUGGACCAUCUUGAAGGGCACUUUCUUCCUUGUUGUCAACCUUGGCAGAUAAUACAGUGCAAUCAUGUGUUCCAUAGCACUCUGUCCUGUCCGGUACGUGUUUACAAUGUUAUCAGCCAGGAAGUUACUUCUCUGCUUGAGAGUUUCCAAAGCCAAAAAGGUGUAUCUUACAAUUUUGAAAAGACUGAGAAUGGUAUUUUUCGAUUAAAGCUCACAGCAAAUGCCACGAAAACAAUAGCAGAUUUGAGAAGGCCACUUGAGAUUUUGAUGAAAGGCAAAACCAUAAACCACCCUGAUCUGACAUUAAGUGCAGUUCAACUGCUCUUGUCCCGUGAUGGUGUAGCACAUUUGAAAUCAAUUGAACAAGAAACUGGUACUUACAUUAUGUAUGACAGGCAAAGUCUAAAUAUUAAAGUCUUUGGACACCAAGAUCAGAUGGCUGCAGCGGAGGUGAAAUUGGUUCAUACACUUCGACAACUACUUGAGAAGAAGCCGCUUGAAAUUUAUCUUCGUGGCCACAACCUACCUCCGGACUUGAUGAAGAAAACGGUAGAAAACUUUGGAGUUGAUUUGGAAGGGUUUAACAAAGAGAUGCCUGAGAUAAAGGUUGAGUUACACCAACACCGCCAUUUACUUAAAGUUUGGGGCAGUAAGGAGGAUAAGCGAAGGGUGGAAAGGAUGAUCUCUGAGCUAGCCUCUUUUAAACACAGUUCCCUGGUUCAACUUGCAUCAGAGAAUGUUGGAGGCAAAGAAGAUAAUCAAAGGGUGGAUUACAAUGAGCCGUCAGAGGAUGCAUGCCCUAUUUGCUUGUGUGAGAUAGAAGAUCCUUUUAGGCUUGAAUCAUGUGGGCACAUGUUUUGUCUGGCUUGUCUGGUGGAUCAGUGUGAAUCUGCCAUGAAAUCACAUGAUGGGUUCCCUAUUUGUUGCCUGAAAACUGGGUGCAAGGAGCCUCUCCUUGUUGUAGACCUGAAGCAUCUCUUGUCAAAUGAGAAGCUGGAGGACCUAUUCAGAGCUUCCUUGAGGGCAUUUGUUGCAUCUAGAGCAGGAAUGUACCGCUUCUGCCCAACACCUGAUUGCCAAUCCAUCUACCAAGUGGCAGCUCCAGAUGCAGAAACCAAACCUUUUUCUUGUGGGGCUUGCUAUGUGGAGAUAUGCACCAAGUGUCAUUUUGAGUAUCAUCCUUUCAUAUCAUGCGAAGCUUACAAAGAAUACAAGGAAGACCCAGACUUGACGCUGCUUGAAUGGCGCAAAGGGAAGGCGAAUGUGAAGAGCUGCCCUUCCUGUGGAUACACAAUUGAGAAAUCUGAUGGCUGCAACCAUGUUGAGUGCAGGUGCGGCAGCCACAUUUGUUGGGUAUGCUUGGAGAACUUCAGGAGCAGCGAGGAGUGUUAUGGCCAUCUCAGGUCUGUGCACCAGUCGUUUGUGGACAUUGUGUAA
rnacentral:rRNA from 1 species